CAGCCGCCGCGGGAAUACGUAGGUCCCGAGCGUUGUCCGGAUUUACUGGGCGUAAAGCGUGCGCAGGCGGUUGUGUAAGACAGGUGUGAAAUCCCCGGGCUUAACCUGGGAACUGCGCUUGUAACUGCACAGCUAGAGUAUGGCAGAGGGGGGCGGAAUUCCACGUGUAGCAGUGAAAUGCGUAGAGAUGUGGAGGAACACCGAUGACGAAGGCAGCCCCCUGGGCCAAUACUGACGCUCAUGCACGAAAGCGUGGGGAGCGAACAGGAUUAGAUACCCCCGUAGUCCCUGUCUCUUAUAC
rnacentral:rRNA from 1 species